AUUUGGAGGUAGACUGCCUUUGAACAUGGAGGUUCCAUUGUCAGUGACCAGGGGCCAUCGUCGUCAUGGAUUGAUGUCCAGCGGAAAUCGAGCAGGGAGCGAAAAAGGCCGGCUUCCCCUCAGCAAAUUGGCUCUGGUACCUUUUCAGUGGGCGCAGAAGGGCCUCUCUUCCAGACACCACGUCUCUCUGGAGUCCCGGGAGCUGAAAGCUGGGAAAUCUCCACCUUAUGCCAGCAGCCUUGGGAAUGAUUUCACACGCAACUGUCGGUCUGGACUCUGCAAGGAUCACGCUUGGUUUGGGGUUGGUGUAAUGGAGGGAAAGCUAAAGACCCACUUUUAGGGUGCUGGAGUCUGCAGCUGGUGAACAGAUCCUGCAAGUCUGUGGUUGUGAAAUAUUUAUUUUAUUUUAUUUAUUUAUUAAAAAAUUCUUGUA